rnacentral:pre_miRNA from 1 species
GCAAUUGGCUGCUCAGUAGUCGGUGUAGGAUCUGUCUAACAUUGCUACCAACAGCUACAUCUGAUUACUGGGUCGCUGAUGGCAUCG